rnacentral:miRNA from 15 species
CGGGUGGAUCACGAUGCAAAUUU